UACGUAGGUGGCAAGCGUUGUCCGGAAUUAUUGGGCGUAAAGCGCGCGCAGGCGGUCCUUUAAGUCUGAUGUGAAAGCCCACGGCUCAACCGUGGAGGGUCAUUGGAAACUGGGGGACUUGAGUGCAGGAGAGAAGAGUGGAAUUCCACGUGUAGCGGUGAAAUGCGUAGAGAUUUGGAGGAACACCAGUGGCGAAGGCGACUUUCUGGUCUGUAACUGACGCUGAGGCGCGAAAGCGUGGGGAGCAAACAGG
rnacentral:rRNA from 1 species